ACUUGUUUCUCGGGUGGCGAGCGGCGGACGGGUGAGUAAUGCCUGGGAAAUUGCCCUGAUGUGGGGGAUAACCAUUGGAAACGAUGGCUAAUACCGCAUGAUGCCUACGGGCCAAAGAGGGGGACCUUCGGGCCUCUCGCGUCAGGAUAUGCCCAGGUGGGAUUAGCUAGUUGGUGAGGUAAGGGCUCACCAAGGCGACGAUCCCUAGCUGGUCUGAGAGGAUGAUCAGCCACACUGGAACUGAGACACGGUCCAGACUCCUACGGGAGGCAGCAGUGGGGAAUAUUGCACAAUGGGCGCAAGCCUGAUGCAGCCAUGCCGCGUGUGUGAAGAAGGCCUUCGGGUUGUAAAGCACUUUCAGUAGGGAGGAAGGUGGUAGUGUUAAUAGCGCUAUCAUUUGACGUUACCUACAGAAGAAGCACCGGCUAACUCCGUGCCAGCAGCCGCGGUAAUACGGAGGGUGCGAGCGUUAAUCGGAAUUACUGGGCGUAGAGCGCAUGCAGGUGGUUUGUUAAGUCAGAUGUGAUAGCCCCGGGCUCAGCCUGGGAAUUGCAUUUGAGACUGGCAUACUACAGUACUGUAGAGGGGGGUAGAAUUUCGGGUGUA
rnacentral:rRNA from 1 species